UACUAGAUAUUUCAUCUUCGUC
rnacentral:siRNA from 1 species